UGGCUCAGGACGAACGCUGGCGGCGUGCCUAAUACAUGCAAGUCGAACGAACUCUGGUAUUGAUUGGUGCUUGCAUCAUGAUUUACAUUUGAGUGAGUGGCGAACUGGUGAGUAACACGUGGGAAACCUGCCCAGAAGCGGGGGAUAACACCUGGAAACAGAUGCUAAUACCGCAUAACAACUUGGACCGCAUGGUCCGAGUUUGAAAGAUGGCUUCGGCUAUCACUUUUGGAUGGUCCCGCGGCGUAUUAGCUAGAUGGUGAGGUAACGGCUCACCAUGGCAAUGAUACGUAGCCGACCUGAGAGGGUAAUCGGCCACAUUGGGACUGAGACACGGCCCAAACUCCUACGGGAGGUAGCAGUAGGGAAUCUUCCACAAUGGACGAAAGUCUGAUGGAGCAACGCCGCGUGAGUGAAGAAGGGUUUCGGCUCGUAAAACUCUGUUGUUAAAGAAGAACAUAUCUGAGAGUAACUGUUCAGGUAUUGACGGUAUUUAACCAGAAAGCCACGGCUAACUACGUGCCAGCAGCCGCGGUAAUACGUAGGUGGCAAGCGUUGUCCGGAUUUAUUGGGCGUAAAGCGAGCGCAGGCGGUUUUUUAAGUCUGAUGUGAAAGCCUUCGGCUCAACCGAAGAAGUGCAUCGGAAACUGGGAAACUUGAGUGCAGAAGAGGACAGAGGAACUCCAUGUGUAGCGGUGAAAUGCGUAGAUAUAUGGAAGAACACCAGUGGCGAAGGCGGCUGUCUGGUCUGUAACUGACGCUGAGGCUCGAAAGUAUGGGUAGCAAACAGGAUUAGAUACCCUGGUAGUCCAUACCGUAAACGAUGAAUGCUAAGUGUUGGAGGGUUUCCGCCCUUCAGUGCUGCAGCUAACGCAUUAAGCAUUCCGCCUGGGGAGUACGGCCGCAAGGCUGAAACUCAAAGGAAUUGACGGGGGCCCGCACAAGCGGUGGAGCAUGUGGUUUAAUUCGAAGCUACGCGAAGAACCUUACCAGGUCUUGACAUACUAUGCAAAUCUAAGAGAUUAGACGUUCCCUUCGGGGACAUGGAUACAGGUGGUGCAUGGUUGUCGUCAGCUCGUGUCGUGAGAUGUUGGGUUAAGUCCCGCAACGAGCGCAACCCUUAUUAUCAGUUGCCAGCAUUAAGUUGGGCACUCUGGUGAGACUGCCGGUGACAAACCGGAGGAAGGUGGGGAUGACGUCAAAUCAUCAUGCCCCUUAUGACCUGGGCUACACACGUGCUACAAUGGAUGGUACAACGAGUUGCGAACUCACGAGAGUAAGCUAAUCUCUUAAAGCCAUUCUCAGUUCGGAUUGUAGGCUGCAACUCGCCUACAUGAAGUCGGAAUCGCUAGUAAUCGCGGAUCAGCAUGCCGCGGUGAAUACGUUCCCGGGCCUUGUACACACCGCCCGUCACACCAUGAGAGUUUGUAACACCCAAAGUCGGUGGGGUAACCUUUUAGGAACCAGCCGCCUAAGGUGGGACAGAUGAUUAGGGUGAAGUCGU
rnacentral:rRNA from 1 species